rnacentral:misc_RNA from 1 species
GAUGAAGAACGUAGCGAAAUGCGAUACGUAAUGUGAAUUGCAGAAUUCAGUGAAUCAUCGAAUCUUUGAACGCAUAUUGCGCUCUCUGGUAUUCCGGAGAGCAUGCUUGUUUGAGUAUCAGUAAACACCUCAACUUCCAUAUCUUUUUUGAAAUGGGAGUUGGACUUGAGUGAUCCCAACGCUUUUCCUCACCGAAAAGUGGCGGGUUACUUGAAAUGCAGGUGCAGCUGGACUUUUCUCUGAGCUAUAAGCAUAUCUAUUUAGUCUGCCUAAAAAACAGAUUAUUACCUUUGCUGCAGCUAACAUAAAGGAGAUUAGUUCUUGUGCUAACUGAUGCAGGAUUCACAAAGACGGCUUCGGCCGACUUUGUAAACUCGAUCUCAAAUCAAGUAAGACUACCCGCUGAACUUAAGCAUAUCAAUAAGCGGAGGA